rfam:Picea glauca, whole genome shotgun sequence.
GCGCAUCUGGUGUAGUGGUAUCAUAGUACCCUCCCACGGUACUGACGAGGGUUCGAUUCCUUGGAUGGGCA